CUUUCCCUCUUUCUUCCUGCCUUACACAUGCAAGUCGAACGGCAGCACGGGUGCUUGCACCUGGUGGCGAGUGGCGAACGGGUGAGUAAUACAUCGGAACAUGUCCUGUAGUGGGGGAUAGCCCGGCGAAAGCCGGAUUAAUACCGCAUACGAUCCACGGAUGAAAGCGGGGGACCUUCGGGCCUCGCGCUAUAGGGUUGGCCGAUGGCUGAUUAGCUAGUUGGUGGGGUAAAGGCCUACCAAGGCGACGAUCAGUAGCUGGUCUGAGAGGACGACCAGCCACACUGGGACUGAGACACGGCCCAGACUCCUACGGGAGGCAGCAGUGGGGAAUUUUGGACAAUGGGCGAAAGCCUGAUCCAGCAAUGCCGCGUGUGUGAAGAAGGCCUUCGGGUUGUAAAGCACUUUUGUCCGGAAAGAAAUCCUUGACUCUAAUACAGUCGGGGGAUGACGGUACCGGAAGAAUAAGCACCGGCUAACUACGUG
rnacentral:rRNA from 1 species